UUAAAAUAUAUCAGAAAAUCUUCAACCCUAAUAUUAUUCUAAACUCAUCAGCCACACUUCUCUCCAAAACGUCGCUUUCUCCUUUUCCAUUUAUGUGCAAAGCUCCAUUUAGCUUUCAACAUGGACAUAUUUUGGUUUCUCUAUUUUGGUGAAACUCUUCUCACUCUUUGUAUUUUUUUUCAACAUCUUUCUCUAUCAAGGCAAAUUUUUCUCUUUAAGCACUCAAAAGAUUUCAAAUCCUUGGCCUAUCAUGAAAUAUGUAGACCUGGAAUACAACGAUAUUUUAGCAUCUCUUUGGCUUUAUUUUGGAUUAUUGUGAACGGUCAUUUUGAAUUCAAACAGUCAUGUUCAAACUCCGGCUCAAACAUAUCUUAAUCUGAAUUUUGGCCUAUAAAAACAUCUCAAACUCUCAGCCAAAAGCACCUUUGAACAUUGGAAAAUUUUCACCUUUCUCAAAGGCCAGAAUACUUGCAAGAACACCCACAAAAAGUAUUAGUUGCCUAGCUUUGAAAUACUUUCAUACGUGUUUUAUUUUUAGCAAAGGUUGUUCAUCCUUGCUCGUUUUGAAAUAGCGAGUUCGGGAUUCUAGAUCGACAACGCCCUCAGUUCACUGCCCCACAAUCAAGUCUCACCGUGAGACUCAACGACACCAUUGUCAUACGGAGCUUGCAUAAACCGAACAUGGGAUUGACCACUCGUAUUUUGAUAAAACAUUUACUCGCUUUUCCUAUUUCCAGAGACCUAUCUGUACAAAAUUAGUUGUCUAGCCUAUUAUUUACCUUUAUGCUAGCUUAAUUAUUUUGUUUGCUGUGAUGCUUUAUUUUACAAUCUAGACAUAUUUGAUCUCUAUUUGAAUA